UUACUUUUGAGGGGAAAACCUAAGCUAGGGC
rnacentral:piRNA from 1 species